GGGGAGGGCGAGGUGUAUGAGAAACGUUCUCCCUGGGCUUACAGAGGAUACUACCACCCCGCCUGGUGGAAGAGAAGCAUAGACCCACACACACCAUUGCAUAAGAUGGAGGAACUGGCGAAGUUGCUGUCCUAUAAGAAUCACCAGCUGGCCAGCCAAUCAGAGCUGGCAGACGAGGAAAAGAAGAGGAGCGUAUCUCUAACCCCAGAGGAGGAGAAGGAGCUGGAGAACAUAGCAGCUAUGGACAUGGAGUUACAGAAGAUAUCUGAGAAGAUGCAGGAGGACAGGAGUGAAUAGAUAAGACAGGCAGAGGCAUGCAGACAGGGAUGCUAAGAUACACAAGGUUAGCACACUGAGAUAGUAACAAAAGACUAGAGAGAGAGAUAGACUGACCCGUCAGUGUUCCGGACAAAAAACCACUAACAUCCAAGAGCCUUGCUGCAAAUUCUGCCGUGUUAACCUUUGUACCUGUGAAAUGCUGAUGUUCUCAAAAGAGACUGUUUAGUUCAUAUAUAAGUAUGAUAGUAUAAAGAUAAAGUAGAUGCUUUGCUAAUUUGUCCGGAUAUCUAUAUAUUUAAAGUACGCAUGACCUUUGAAUGGUUGUUUGUUUGUUCAGUCUGCAUUUAAUAAAAUGAAUUAUUCUGA